AUUGGACGCGACGUGUGCAGUACAUUACACACUUUGUUAUUUCGGUCGCUGGGGAAGCAGUUGGAAAAAUUGUGCAUUAAAUGUCAUAUUGACAUAUCAAUAUAUUGGAUUUUUUCCCCCGCAUCCGGGACCCGUGGGGCGGCUGCCGUUUCGGCUGAAUUUCAAUUCAGUUGCACGAGGAAAUUUGUUCGUAAUGCAAUAUUUUAUUUUUCACGGAUAUAGUGUUUUAUUGGAUUGUAAAUUUGAGUGAGUAAAUUUCAGGCCGCUUCUGGUCGUGGCGCUAACGAAACAAAACCAGAGCCGUAUCCGGAGCAUAAAUUAAGGUCUCACUUCCGUUCGCCAUCCAUUAUUACAAUCGGAUCGUUGGUCGUGCGGAACCAGUAGUUGGGUUCGGGUGGCCAAUCACACAAAACAAUUGAGUAAGUGUCCUUUGUCGGAACGGUAACAGGAAGGGCGAUCCCAGUGCGAGAGCCAAUUUCAUGGGUACAACAUAAAUUAACGGUUCGAUUCGGUUUCAUUGUUUUGCCCUUCGCUUGCAGUAGCAGAGAAAUUAAGAUAAUUUCAUUUUUGGCACCCCAUUAAACAAACGGACGGCAAAAUGAUGGAACAUGGGAUUAUAACUAAGUACACCGAUGUCCGGGUGAAAAUUUCCGGCUGGAACGAGCGAGUGCAGCAGUAUCCGAAGGAUUGUCCCUGCUGUUCCGUGGGGCAAGCCACCUACAGAACAUUCGGCUAUACAACGAAGCAUUACAUUCCCAAAACAACCACCCAAUCGAUGUACGAUGACGUUUGGCAGUAUUGCGAUCAAGGCCGCCGAUUCCGACUCAAUGACUACGGUGAGUUUACGCCGUAUCGUUCCACAUACCAAACUGAUUACAGUGAACACGCUUGUGCAUGAUGAGAGUUCUUGUUCUAAAUACAGAGCAAUCAACGGAACAGUGACCGCUUGAAGGACAAAAUUUCUUUUCGUUAUUGCAUUGUUAAUAAUGUUUUUCUUCUUCUGACCAUAGUUUGUUGGCGUACUAAGGCUUUAGUCUCUGCUUAUGGAUGAAUUUAUCGUGAAUUUUCUAAAUUUCGAAUAAAGCUGAAUUGAGACGAGCUGUGCUACCGACAAUGAUAAAAAGAGUUUUUCUUUGAUAGGAUAGAAUAAGCGAUUCCAUUUUUCAGGUCAGUCGAAAUGAA